GACAGCUUCGGCUUUUAGUGAUUUAUUCGCAUUAAAUUCUAUAUGGAAUACGGAUAAUGACUAUUUUCUAUAUAAAAGUCUUGACCAAAACACGUGCCAGCAGUCGCGGUAACACGGGGCAGACUAGUGUUAUUCAUCUUUAAUAGGUUUAAAGGGUACCUAGACAGCAAAUCUGACUCCCGUAAUCGGAUCGGCACCUUUUUGCUAGAGUUUUAUGUGAGAGGUUUUUAGUACUAUCGGAGUAGAGAUGAAAUUCUUUGAUACUGUAGGGCACUGAUAACGGCGAAGGCAAGCCUUUAUGUAAAAACUGACGUUGAGGGACGAAGGCUUGGGUAACAAACAGGAUUAGGUACCCUAAUAGUCCAAGCAGAGACUGAUGAGUGUUAUAGAUUAGAAUUAUUUGAUCUAUAAAUGAAAGUGCAAGCACUCCACCUUAAGAGUAAUGCGGCAACGCAGGAACUAAAAUCAUUAGACCGUUUCUGAUACCAGUAGUGAAGUAUGUUAUUUAAUUCGAUGACCCGCGAAAAACCUUACCACAAUUUGAAUAUUAUAUUGCCUUAGGUAAGUUAUUUAGUAUUUAUUUAUUAAAUAAUGAAAGUGUUAUAAUACAGGUGUUGCAUGGCUGUCUUCAGUUGAUGUCGUGAGAUGUAGGUUAGAUCCAAAGAAUCAACGUGUAACCCGUAUUUUAUUUUGUAUAAAUAAAGUAGUUUCCCCAACAUAUUGGAAAGAUAAUUGGGACCAAGACAAGUCCUCAUGGCCCUAACAU
rnacentral:rRNA from 1 species